UUCAAAAUCCAAUUGAGUCAAAUGUAUGAAAGAUGAUAUAUCAUGAGCUCUGUAAUGUUUUGAACAAUCAAUUAAAAAAAUGGAAAAAAAAAAACUAUGGGAGCCUUAUUUUUGCACCUCCUCUAAUUCCUUCAAUCAUUGAAGUCUAAGGCAUUUUGGCAUCUGAAUUAGGUAAUGUUCUUUUCCAUUCUUCAAAAAUUAUAAAUGUAGUUGUUUAUUUUUUCAUUGCUAUUUCAAGUUACUUUUACUUUUUAUUUGCCCUCCCCACCGCCAUGCUGGAGAUGGACUCCAGGUCCCACAUGUGCCAGGCAAGUGCUCUACCACCGAGCCUCAUCCCAACCGUUUUCUUAAUCACACAAGCUUGCCCUGUGCCUCUUGCCUUAAAACGCAUUCUUCCUAAUCCCUAUAGCUAAUGUUUUGUUUUGUUUUUUUCCUUGACUAUAAGAUUCUGAAAGAGCAUUAUUCAUGUUAUUUCAACUUCCUGACUUUCCAUUCAUUCCCCAGACCUUCCUCUGGAUUCUGCCCCAUGACAAAAUCGCCCGUGCCUAUAUGACCAGUGACAUUUGGUUCCAGGGAGUGAGGGACAGCUCUUCUGGGAAGUGUCUGGGAGUUUGAAUCCUCAUCUUGCUGGAAUGUCCUCAGAUGACAAUCUAGGACACAUAAAACGAGCCCAACUACAACAGUUGCCUACAGAAAUGUGAGCUUCUUAAGCAAUUUCCUCUCCUCCAUUUCUUUCAGGCAUUAAUGUGAAUGAGUUAAAUUAAUCCUCUAAUCAUCCCUUUUAUUGUUGCUCUGUGGCUGUUUAUUUAGCUGUAAUAUUUUUUAAAAAAAAGAUGCCCCAUCAUCUUUUAAACCUUGUGUUGAUUUUGUAAUUUCAGCUAUCCCAAUUUUAGUUGGUGUCUUUCCUUGUCCUCAGAAUAUUCCUUUUUAUUGUAACAUAUUCUUGUUUCAAAAAUGCAGUAUUUUCUGAUAAAAGGUAAUUUAAUUUUUCUCCCAGUCCCUGAGUUGUAUGUUUCCUACGAGUUGCUUUCUUCGAGGUGCUUGUUUUGGUCUCUGUCCACUGUGCAGAGACUUUCUGACAGUGACUCCAAGUAGCCUGUUCAGGUUCUACAGUGACAUUCUAGAGCUGACCGGUACUGUGCCUGUCAAUCACUUUCCACCUUCCAUUCUCCCAAGAUGUCAACACAUGAUGUCUUUUCUCAGGGGUCAUUUACUUUCUCCAUGAAGAGAGAUUCAGACCCCUCUGGAAUUUAUGUACACCUGGCUGAGGACCCUCCCAGAACCGGGGAGAAGUACUGGGCACUGAACCCAGGACUACAUACAAGUCCUCCCACUGAACCACAGCUGCAGUGUGACUCUCCAGAAGAGUUUGAUUCUCAGAAUUGCAUUUCAGUCAAGUUAUAAAGUAGAAAUUCUGCAUUUUUUUAUUACAUCCAACCCUCUGAGAGUGAAUGUGAAGGUAAGGGGUUUUGUUAUUAAUGUAGAGUCUCCUUCUGAAUAGCAUUUAUCCUGUGAAACAUGAAUGACUCAUGUGAAUUCUCAUAUUACAUGGAAAACAUACUAAAACAUUAUAUACUUUUUCAGACUUCUCCAGGAACAUUAUUUCUGGUCUCAGAUGUUUUUGCCUGUAAAUUGCCCUAACCUUUCUAGUGUCUUUGUGGAUAAUAUUGGCAUUGUAUCUUCAGGAAGAUAAUGAUGCUAACACUCAUGUACUAGGAACUCUUUAGCAGGGCUUGUAGAGAGCCUUCUCUUUACAUCUCUCAUGUUGUCUACUCUCUACAUGUUUGUGUCCAAACUUCAUUUUUUUAACAAAGACACUAGUCACAUUGGAUUAGUGCAUUCCCUAAUGAAAUCACUUUAACUUGCUCACUUUAUCAAGACUCCAAAUAAGAACACAUUCUCAGGUACUAGAGGUUACUACUUGAACUCAUGAAUUUUGGGGAGACCCUAAGCUGGUCAUACUAAAAAACAAAGCCAGGAAGAAGACAGUUUGUGCAUAGGUCCCGAGAUUACACAUGCUCAGAGCUAAGGAAGUUAACAUCAAGGGGCUGACAGCAAGAGUCAAGUCACAUCCAGCCUUCUAGUCCAUAAAAGGAGACUGGAGGUUUUAUGUAGGGCAAAGACACCAUCUCACUCUUUUCUGGGUGGAGAUGUACAGAGAAAAGUGAUAGUGGAACGAUCUGGUGGAGGCUACUGCAGAAGGACAAUUGAGAAAUAAAAGGUAGGGUUGUUUGAACCAGAGUUUAAGGGGAGAGAGAAGUGUGAUGGAUGGCAGAUGUAAAUUAGCAGGUCUGAGGACUGGAGGUAGUUAGGUUGGGAAAAGGGUGAAGGAUAGCUUCUAGGUUCUGAAUAGUGAAACUAGAUAAACUGUUACUGGUAAAAGGGAAGCUCUGGGUUUAGGCUUUGACGACAGCAUGGUCAAGGUAACCAUUUUUGACCAUGUUCUGAGACGUGUUAAGGCGUCCAAAUGAAGUCAUUAAGACAGCUGAAUGCAGAGACCUGAAGUGCCGAGAAGAGGUACAGGCAAGAAGAAAGUUAAAUUGGGAGCAGUUAUGACACAAAUGUUAGUAAGAGCCAAGGAAAAGAGUAAGAAGAGAGGAAGAAUAUGGCAACAGAGGGAAAAGCCCUGAAAUAUUUAGGAAGGUGCUCUUCUGUCCCAACCACCCAUGAGUGCCACAGAUAACUGCAUGCUGUCAACUUAGUGGAAACAUGAUUGAGGCGGUAGAGGCUGCAUCCAGAGGACACUGUAAGGUAAUGACCGGAUUGUGAUGCUGAUGUUUAGGAAUGAGUCAUCACUGGCCUCUGAAACCCUCCCAGCAAGGGACUCGGCAGUCAAUUCAUGGUUGCAUUUUAUGACAGGUGUCAGAAGUUCCAGGGAUAACAUCCUCUUUCAAACACUUGGAUCUGACCUAUAUACUGCAGGCCAGCCUGUUUCUGAAAAUGGUGAGUGACAACAUGGCCUGUAAGGAAAACCAAGUGAUUUUUCUUAAGAAUAUUUGAACCACUGGAACCUGAUCACUUGGUGAAAUUAGGUCCCAGAGGUUUGGGUCUUUCUUUAAGCAUGAAAAAUCAUUUUGGCCUAUAAAACUCAGGGAGGGUUGUUGGCAACUUAACUGUUCUAACCAUAGGAUGGCUUCUGCACGCUAUGAUUUUGAGUAAAAUUACAACAGAUAGGAUGGCUUCUGCACGCUAUGAUUUUGAGUAAAAUUACAACAGCACAUGCCAAGAUGGCUCACUCUUGCUCCUGCUGGAAGAGGGGAUCUCCUAUACAGGUGAUACACUUGAUGGUGUUAAUUUUUUUUCUAGUUUAUAUAUGCAUCUACGUACUGCAGGACAUCUGCAAAUUUGAAAACUUAAAAGAUUUAAAAUACCUUGAAAUACAUAAGGCUGAUAGACUGAUGAGAGACUGGGAUGCUGACAACACAAAACAUCUGAUGACACACCACAUCCUUUGUUUUUGGGGAUAACAAACCUUUUAAUUGUUCCUGGAAUUAAACUGUCCUGAGAGAAACUGGACAGGUUAAUUAGCUAAUAUUCAACCCCAAUUUAGAUGAUCAUUUAAAGACACUUUGACAUUGGAAAUUGGCAUUUCCAAACUUUGUGGAUAUUUACACAAACAUCAUGAGUGUAAUUAAAACAAAGCUGCCACUGUUAUACUUCAUAAACAGCACCUAGGAAGAGGCAGAAGUCCAGGGGAGGAGAGUCCCUGGAUCUUGUUCUAUACGUCAUAGCAUGGUAUGAAAGCUAUGCAAAAGCUGCUGUGCUCCUCCUAUUUAAAAUGAAAAUACCUACCAUCAACACUAUUUUAAACAAACAAAAUCAGGUUAAUUCAAAUAAAUAUCCUUUAUUAAAGAAAAAAAGGAAUAUUGUUAAGCACCAAAACUGUAUGUUGUUACACUGCAUGUACAAUAAGAGAAAGGUGAUUGCAAUACUUGGUGUACAAGUACUUAACUCUGAAGUCAUGAGUGUAAAAAACAUGAAAUAUAAAGCAAUACAAUAAUUACAAUGCAGAAAAGUUGCACUAAAGAGGAAAAGGCAAUGUUCAAAACAAUUAUUGGAGAUUUCAUAGUAUUGCUAUAAAUGCUUGCUUAGUAUUUUCUUUGUACUUUUAAUACUUCAGAAUGUUAACUGGGCAUAUUGAAGUAUUGUAAAUUUGCAAGAGAUGGCAUUUACAAUAUACUGUGCGCGCUGUCCAUAUAAUGUAAUGAUAAAGCCAUCCUUAAAAGCCAA